AUUUUAUACUCUACCAUGAAUAAAAGCAUCAUCGAGUGAAAAUACUCCAAUUGCAGACAAGUAUGAAACCAUCCCUGACCAAACAAAGUUGGACCCAGCAGAAGAUGUGAGUCUCACCUCUGAGGAGACAAAACCGGGAGAGCAUCUCCCAGGAGAGCAGGCCAUUCUCAUUCCAGCGCUGGAAGAAAAGAUUGAUUCAGUCAGCAAAAGGGAGGAGCCGGAGGGCACUGAGCCCCUGCCUGCGGGAUUGGAGGACGGCACUGGGCCGCCGUCUGCAUGGCAAGAGGAGAUCACUGGGCCUUCACCACCAGCGCCAGGGGAAGACAAUGGGUCAUCACCAUCAGGACCAGCGGAGAACAGUGGGCUGGUGGAUGGCAAUGACAGCUCUGUAGUGGAAAUCAUCAAGAAAGAACAUAUUACUGAAGAGGACCAACUCAUUGAGGAGACAGCUAAUAAUGAGGAAUAGAAGUUAUGUCUAUAUGAACAUCCUCUUCUUGUGCCUGCUCUUCUGUCUUCAUGAACAUUCAUUAAUUUUAUUGGGUUGGGAAAAUAGAAAAGUUUUUAUGGACUUUGCCACAAACAUGAAUAAGAGGCAGGAAAAGUUUUAUAUACUAUAUAUUUUUUGAGGUCAAGCUGCCAAGACUUCAACCGUUUCAAAUGCCUGAGCUUUCACCUCCCUGCCACAGUGCCUUCUGUACACUGCCAGUGCAGCGGGAUCAUUUUCUGACAACGCUAUACUCAUUCUGUUUUCAAUUAGGACUUUUCCCGAGGCCAGAUAAUUAACUUAAAACCUGAGCAGACACCUUUGAAACCUUCAACCAGCAUUAUAUAGGAUAAAAAAUGUAGCAUAGCACUUUUUUUUUUUAAUGGUAGUGUGUGUAAAAAGUCAGAAAUGAAAGUCUUGGUGCUGUGAACUUGUAUACACAUAGAUAAUUUCUCUGAAGGCCUGGACGACUGGUUAUGGAGUUGCUCCAGUGUAUGGCAGGUGGAGGAAUGGAAUCUGAGAGUACCUCUUUACUGGGCUGUAAUUAAAUGCACUGGUCAUUUCUUCAGAAAAUGAAACAUAUACAGGGUGCAAUAUCCAGUAACCACGUGGGUGUCCUCUGCCAACCUCUAUUUUAAACACAAAUUUAUUGAAAGAACAGCAUUAUAGCUUAUAUGUUAGUUCAAUCACCCUUACAGUAAAAAGGAUUAGCUUACUACCAUCACCAAAUUAUAAAAAUCCCCUCUAAGAACUAACUUCUGUGCUGCAUGUGCACAUAUGACUCCAGCUGACUUUGGUUCCUAUUAAAUAAUUUAAUUUAUAUCCCUGGCCUAUCAGGUUUUUACUUUAUCUGUUAUAUUUUGGUUAUAUCUAAAAGUUUCUGCUUAUCAGCAGUCUGUUCAGUCUACAGAUAUCUCAGCUUUAUUUAAGGUCACCUACUAAUGUUGCCUGUAGGAGAGAACCAUAAACUUUUAUGAUCAAA
rnacentral:lncRNA from 1 species